UACGUAGGGUGCGAGCGUUAAUCGGAAUUACUGGGCGUAAAGCGUGCGCAGGCGGUUCGUUAUGUCUGAUGUGAAAGCCCCGGGCUCAACCUGGGAAUGGCAUUGGAAACUGGCGAGCUUGAGUGUGGCAGAGGGGGGUGGAAUUCGCGUGUAGCAGUGAAAUGCGUAGAGAUGCGGAGGAACACCGAUGGCGAAGGCAGCCCCCUGGGCUAACACUGACGCUCGAGGCACGAAAGCGUGGGGAGCAAACAGG
rnacentral:rRNA from 1 species